UGUUUAAUUCCAGUUUAUCCUGCUGGAGGAUGCAGCUAUUUGGUUUGGGUUUAGACAUGCAAGUUUUUUCUCUGAUUUAUUAGGGGAAAGCAAACUGCUCAGUAACACGUAGAUAAUCUACCCUUGAGUGAAGAAUAAGCACGGGAAACUGUGUCUAACACUUCAUAUGGGAUUUGGCCUGGAAAGGUAUUUCCCUGAAACUCGUGCUCAAGGAUGAGUCUGCGGAUGAUUAGCUUGUUGGUGGGGUAACUGCCUACCAAGGCGAUGAUCAUUACGGGCUCUUAGCGGAGUUGCCCGGAGACGAAAUCUGAGACACUAUUUCGAGCUCUACGGAGUGCAGCAGUCGCGGAACUUUUACAAUGCACGCAAGUGUGAUAAAGCGAACCAAAGUGUUUUUCGUAUAGAAAAACUUUUUCUUAGUGUAAAAACCUAGGAGAAUAAGGACUGGGAAAGACUGGUGCCAGCCGCCGCGGUAAUACCAGCAGUUCAAGUUGCAUCCCUUUUUAUUGGGUCUAAAACAUCCGUAGCUUGCCGUUUAAGUCUCUUGUGAAAUC
rnacentral:rRNA from 1 species